rnacentral:lncRNA from 1 species
GAGUUGGAGACAACUUGGACUUUGUUUUAAGGAGCUAGCCACCGAAUCCCAAGGAUACGGUAUAACUCAAGCCUAGCGUUUCUAUAUAAUCAGGAGGCCCCUGCCACAUCUUUUUUUUUUCAUCUAUAGCUGCUCUGCUCAAUAUAGCAACUCGCCGCCUUGACUUCGAUCUUGCCGAGCAGAGUUGCGUCCGGCGGCCACCCCAGAGGUCGCUGUCCAUCAUUCAUGCCAAUGUUUCCGAGCCUCAACCGAGCUUCGUGUCCUGGUGACGAAGCUUACAUUCCUUGCUCUUUAUUCCUCUCUGUGUCAAACUAAUCACCGCCGGCCAUGUACAGGAAGCUGUUGUCUCCAUCGUGCACCGUGUCAUCUCCAAUCUUUUUUUUUUCAUCUGCGAAAAGUGUCAGUGUCGAGGUGAGAUCACCAUUCUCUCGUCUGUAGGCCUUUGCCGCGCAUGCCGUCGAGUAGCUGGUUUCCGGCGAUGAUACCUUGCUAUGCGUGGUGCCGUCUAAGCUGUGCUUGCU